rnacentral:rRNA from 1 species
AGUUUGAUCAUGGCUCAGAACGAACGCUGGCGGCGUGCCUAACACAUGCAAGUCGAACGCGAAAGGGAGCAAUCCCCGGUAGCGUGGCAGACGGGUGAGUAACACGUGGGUAACCUACCCGGAGGUGGGGGAUAACCCUUCGAAAGGAGGGCUAAUACCGCAUAACACCGCGAGGACCUCGGUCCUUGCGAUCAAAGCUGGCCUCUGUUUACAAGCUAGCGCCACCGGAUGGGCCCGCGCCCCAUUAGCUAGUUGGUGAGGUAACGGCUCACCAAGGCUACGAUGGGUAGCCGGCCUGAGAGGGCGAUCGGCCACACUGGAACUGCGACACGGUCCAGACUCCUACGGGAGGCAGCAGUGAGGAAUCUUGCGCAAUGGGCGAAAGCCUGACGCAGCGACGCCGCGUGGAGGAUGAAGGUCUUCGGAUUGUAAACUCCUGUCGAGUGGGACGAAUGCCGCGAGGGUGAACAUCCCUUGCGGUUGACGGUACCGCUGGAGGAAGCCCCGGCUAACUCCGUGCCAGCAGCCGCGGUAAUACGGAGGGGGCUAGCGUUGUUCGGAAUCAUUGGGCGUAAAGGGCGCGUAGGCGGCCGAUCAAGUCGGAGGUGAAAUCCCUCGGCUCAACUGAGGAAUUGCCUUCGAUACUGUUCGGCUUGAG